rnacentral:rRNA from 1 species
GACGAACGCUGGCGGCGUGCUUAACACAUGCAAGUCGAACGGAAAGGCCCUGCUUUUGUGGGGUGCUCGAGUGGAGAACGGGUGAGUAACACGUGAGUAACCUGCCCUUGACUUUGGGAUAACUUCAGGAAACUGGGGCUAAUACCGGAUAGGAUCUCCCGCUGCAUGGUGGGGGUGGGAUAGUUUCGGCGGUUGGUGAUGGACUCGCGGCUUAUGAGGUCGAUGGUGGGGUAGUGGGUUGCCAAGGUCUUGAAGGCUAGCCAGCCUGGGAGGGUGACCGGCCACAUAGGGAGGGAGUGAGGGCCCAGACUGAUUCGGGAGGCAGGAGGGGGGAGUGUUGCACGAUGGGCGGAAGCCUGAUGGAGCAACGCCGGGUGCGGGAGGACGGCCUGCGGGUGGUAAACAGCUUUCGCUUGUGACGAAGCGUGAGGACCGGAACUGGAUAAAGAGGCACGGCCUACCUACGU